GACGAACGCUAGCGGCGUGCCUAAGGUAUGCAAGUCGAACGGGAGAGGCAACUCUCCAGUGGCGCACGGUCGAGUAACACGUAGACAACCUGCCUGCCAGUGGGGGAUACCCGCGCGAAAGCGCGGCUAAUACCGCAUACGACCCUCCGGGAGCACCUGGGGUGGUGAAAGGGGCAACUCGCUGGGAGAUGGGUCUGCGGCCUAUCAGUUAGCUGGUGAGGUAACGGCUCACCAGGGCGACGACGGGUAGCGGGUCCGAGAGGAUGAUCCGCCGGACGGGGACUGAGACACGGCCCCGACUCCUUCGGGAGGCAGCAAUGAGGAAUAUUGCGCAAUGGGGGAAACCCUGACGCAGCGACGCCGCGUGGGUGAGGAAGUCCUUCGGGAUGUAAAGCCCUUUUUUCGGGGACGAGAACGGACGGUACCCGAAGAAUAAGCCCCGGCUAACUACGUGC
rnacentral:rRNA from 1 species